AUCUUCGAGGCAGGGUUUGAUUCCCGACCGGCGGUACAGUCCGCAAGCCUUUCUCCAAGGGCACGAUCCGGUGCGAUUCCGGAACCGACAGUAUAGUCUGGAUGGUAGAAGAC
rnacentral:ncRNA from 1 species